GGCCUGUCAGCAUCCUGACUGAGAUGUGUACUGCACGCUGCUGGCCCUUUAAGAGGAGUGGGCGGGGCCUGUCAGCAUCCUGGCCGCAGUGUUGGUGUCCCUCAGUGAGCUCCAAGACGAGGCGGCUGAAAGGAUUUCCAGAAAAGGGGAGGGCGGCAGGUGCUACCUAAGCAGCGCCAGGCAAGGAAGGGAGUUCACGGAGACCGGUGCCGAGCGGGCCCUAGUCGCAGCCGUAUGGUGAGAGUCAGCAGGUGACCUGAAAUGGCCCAAGUGCUGCACAUGGACCCUGGCUUCCCAGGGAAACUCAGCUCGCCGGCUCCCUCGUCUUUGCACGGCAAGGAGCAGGAGGCGCCCUACUCCGUGGAGACCCCCUACGGCUACCGUCUGGACCUGGACUUCCUCAAGUAUGUCAACGACAUAGAGAAGGGCAACACCAUCAAGAAGGUGCCGAUCCAACGGCGUCCGCGCUACGGCUCGCUGCCCCGCGGCAGCUAUGGCUACACGGGCUCCUGGUGGACCUCCACGGAGUCUCUGUGCUCCAAUGCCAGCAUGGACAGUCGCCACUCCUCCUACUCCUACUGCGCCCCAGGCUACCACAGCACACAGAGGCCCGGCUUCAGCAGCGCCCGGGUGGAGAAGACCCUGCUGGACGCACGCAGGAAGCUGGAGGAGGAGAAGGAAGGGAGGAGAUUCUCCAACCUGGGCAGCAUGCACAGCAGCAUGGCGGGCUCCAACACCUCCAUCAGUAGUGCGCACAGCUUCAACCGAGCCCAGGGUGGGGGAGGAACCUUCACUCCCCUGAGCUCUGGCCUCUCCACCCCGGUCACGCCCACCCCGGCCCACCUGCAGCACGUCAGGGAGCAGAUGGCCGCCGCCCUCAGGAAGAUCCGAGACCUGGAGGAGCAGGUGAAGACCAUACCUGUCCUCCAGGUGAAGAUCUCUGUGCUCCAGGAAGAGAAGCGGCAGCUCAGCGUCCAACUGAAGAGUCAGAAGUUUCUGGGCCACACCAUGAGUUUUAAUAGAGGUCGGAGCAGAGGGGAGCUUUACAUCGAUAUCCCGGAAGAAGAGGUGGGCGGCGGAGCCAAGGGCGGAGACAAAGCGUCGGGGUUGAUGUCUCCCACCACACCUGAGGGCUCCAAACAAGACUCUGGCUGUGAGAUUGAGGACACGGUCAUCGUGGCCGGAGCCAGACCGGACGCCAAGCGAGAGGUGCGCACGAUCGGGGUGGGACCGGAGGGAGGGAAGGGCAGCCGCCAGGUGGGGGUCGGAGUCCGGGAGGAGGACCUGGGUCUUCUGCCGGAGGCCGAGGCUCUUAAGAACCAAGUGGUCCACCUGGAGGGUCAGCUGAGAAGUAUGAUGGAGCAGAUACAAGCCACCUCCGCCCAGAAGGAGACGGGCCCACGGGCGGAGAAGGCGGUGAUGGCCACCAGCUCGGGCUGGCGGGAGCUGCAGGACGGCAACCUGCAGACCGUGGUCAGCUUCACCCAGCACAGGCAGCAGAGGACUGUGGGGGUCCAGGUCUACACGCUGGAGCAGCCCACCGUGCUGGAGGUGGGCUCUCGGAGGCCAGCGCUGAGCUGCAGCCCUCCUUCUGCCGCCAUGGAGGGUCACCAUGGAGGAGCAGCUGAAGGCUCCACAGAAGCUGGGGUGGGCUUGCCAGUUGCCGUCAGCUCCAAGCAGGUCCGUGACGUCCUGAAGAGCGAGUUGUCCACCUCGGUGCUCAUAUCCAACCCCGCCAUGACUGCUGGCACAGCUGCCAAUCACACACCUGCUGUGGUGUAUUUCAAAGAGGAGGCCACGCACCUUGACACGAGUGCGGCGACUCUUCAGUGGCAAGAUGGCCACACCACAGCCUCGUCUCCCCAAUCGUCUCUGAGGUCCAUCAUGAAGCGUAAAGCCGAGGGGGAACCUGGCUCGCCAUCCACCAAGAAGAACCUUCAGUUCAUUGGAGUAAACGGAGGCUACGAGUCCACAUCGUCAGAAGAGAGCAGCAGCGACAGCUCGGACGAAGAAAGCGACUCCAGCGAGUAUCAUGAAGCGCGGGAAAAACUACCGGAGUCCGCAGCCCCAGGAUCCUCCCCGCCUCUAGAGGGCAGCACCAGCAGAACAGGAUCCUCCCCGCCUCUAGAGGGCAGCACCAGCAGAACAGGAUCCUCCCUGCCUCUAGAGGGCAGCACCUGCAGAACAGCAUCCUCCCCGCCUCUAGAGGGCAGCACCGGCAGAACAGCAUCCUCCCCGCCUCUAGAGGGCAGCACCUGCAGAACAGGAUCCUCCCCGCCUCUAGAGGGCAGCACCUGCAGAACAGGAUCCUCCCCGCCUCUAGAGGGCAGCACCUGCAGAACAGGAUCAUCCCCGCCUCUAGAGGGCAGCACCUGCAGAACAGGAUCCUCCCCGCCUCUAGAGGGCAGCACCUGCAGAACAGGAUCCUUCCCGCCUCUAGAGGGCAGCACCUGCAGAACAGGAUCCUCCCCGCCUCUAGAGGGCAGCACCUGCAGAACAGGAUCCUCCCUGCCUCUAGAGGGCAGCACCUGCAGAACAGGAUCCUUCCCGCCUCUAGAGGGCAGCACCUGCAGAACAGGAUCCUUCCCGCCUCUAGAGGGCAGCACCUGCAGAACAGGGUCCUCCCCGCCUCUAGAGGGCAGCACCAGCAGAGCAGCAUCCGUGCAUUACGCCUCCCAGCCGUCAACAAUGGAGCAAGCUCCACUUUCCCUGGCGACGGAGGCUGCAGCAAGUGCCUCCCAGACUUCCACGCCCGGUGCCAGCCUUGCCCCCGAGGGUCCUCCCUGCCAGGAGAGUGCCAGCAUGGAGUCCAAGUUGAGUCCAGAGGUUGCUGGGCAGCAGGUGACAGACACCAGCAGCCAAUCAGAGUCAGCGUGUGAAAGCGUCCCCACAGAACAAGUCAGGCUGGAAGUCAGCGACAGUCUGAUGUCGGCGCUGCACCACCUCCAGGAAGCCCUGGGAGACCACAAUGCCUUCAGCCAGCCAGGCGCCAGGCUGGCGUACACCAGCGUGCUGCAGGAGUGGCUUCGUGUUUCCUGCCACAAAGCGGCGGACGUGGCGGCAGUCAGAGCCUACAUGGACGCCUUCGCCGCCGUCUCCCCUCAGCUGCUGCACUUUGUCAUCAACAUGGCGGACGGCAACGGGAACACGGCGCUGCACUACACCGUCUCACACUCCAACUUCCCUGUGGUCAAACUGCUCCUGGACACUGGUUUGUGUAACGCUGAGCGGCAGAACAAGGCGGGCUACACGGCCAUCAUGCUCACGGCGCUGGCUGCCUUCCACUCCGACCGCGACCUUCAAACUGUCCUGCAGCUCCUGCGCACGGGCGACGUCAACGCCAAAGCCAGCCAGGCGGGUCAGACGGCGCUGAUGCUGGCGGUCAGCCACGGCAGGGGGGACAUGGUGCGAGCCCUCCUCUCCUGCGGGGCCCAGGUCAACAUCCGAGACGAUGACGGCUCCACCGCGCUGAUGUGCGCCUGCGAGCACGGCCACGUGGACAUUGUGCGCCAACUACUGUCUGUGCCCGGCUGUGACGCCACGCUUGCUGACAACGACAAGAAGAAGAAGACAUGUGGUGCAUUCAAGUGUGUUGUUGUUUCAGGACGGCAGCACGGCGCUGUCCAUCGCCAUGGAGGCCAGCCAGAAUGACAUCGCCGUGCUUCUUUAUGCUCACCUCAACUUUGCAAAGCCUCCUUCCCCUGUUUCACCAAAGUCUUCUCUCCUGGCUUCCUCUCUUCCUUCUGCCGGUGAAACUAAGUAGAAGUCCACUGGACAGGACAACCCUCACUAUUUUCACAGCACAUCACUUCUAGACGGCCUCCAGCACAAACAACUCAAGUCCAAGUCCAGCAGCCCAGCAUGGCGUGUGUUGAACAACUCAAGUCCAAGUCCAGCAUGGUUGUGUUUUCAACAAGUCAAGUCCAAGUCCAGCAGCCCAGCAUGGCGUGUGUUGAACAAGUCAAGUCCAAGUCCAGCAGUCCACACUAACAACAUGAAGUCAACUCAAGUGUCCUUGAUCAGUUGCGUCCACUCGCUCUGCGGUGCUACUAAACUCACCGCUGAAACUCUUUUCUACACCAAAUUGUAUGCACUCUAUUUUUGAUAGUUGUUGUUCAGGACUACAGUGGACUUCUUUGAACCAGCAAACAUACAAAGAGUGGCCUGCAUCAAAGACUUUGCCUGCUGUAAGGAGAGAUUAGUUUGACAGGAGCAGAAAGGGUGUGCAAGAUAAUAUGUUGCUAGCUAAUACAACAACAGCAACAGGAGCAGAAAGGGUGUGCAAGAUAAUAUGUUGCUAGCUAAUACAACAACAGCAACAGGAGCAGAAAGGGUGUGCAAGAUAAUAUGUUGCUAGCUAAUACAACAACAGCAACAGGAGCAGAAAGGGUGUGCAAGAUAAUAUGUUGCUAGCUAAUACAACAACAGCAACAGGAGCAGAAAGGGUGUGCAAGAUAAUAUGUUGCUAGCUAAUACAACAACAGCAACAGGAGCAGAAAGGGUGUGCAAGAUAAUAUGUUGCUAGCUAAUACAACAACAGCAACAGGAGCAGAAAGGGUGUGCAAGAUAAUAUGUUGCUAGCUAAUACAACAACAGCAAUGUAAAUCCCCGAGGCUGGUGACAUUACCAAUACUUUUUAACCCCACAACUUUCAUAUUCACCUUUUGAGCAACUCCAUUUUUAUAAACAUGUUCUUAAUUUAAGCAGCCAUCUUUUUGAUACAGUAGUGUUUUGAAGCUCACGCCAUCUUUGUAACCUGCACAGCUUUUAAUGAAGCUCAUGUGAUCUAUGAAGGCUUGUGUUGUGUACAAUGUUUCUUCUAUUAUGUGUGCGUUUGUUGGAAUAAUGAUGAAUAAAUACCAACUACACUGA